UUGAAAAUCCUACAGCUCAAGGAUUGUCCAUUCCUUAGAAGGACGCCCAAGUUCUUUGCAAUCUCGCAAUUGGAGAAAUUGAUUCUUAGAUGCGGUCGACUAAGAAAGAUUGACAAGUCCAUUGGCAAUCUACAACAUCUUGAUUACCUAGAGAUAAAGAGUGAAGUUAUUGAGUCGCCACCGGAGUCCAUCGACGGUCUAAAAUCUUUGAUAGUGCUAAGAAUAUAACAAACACCCUCAAUGAAGCCUCACUCGAUUGGCAAUUUAGCAAAGGUGAAGUCUCUAAUCUUGCCAUGCAAGGAACUUCAAAAGCUUCCCGACUCUAUCGGACAAUUGGAGUCACUACUUAAGCUAGAUGUCCAAUAUUUAAAAAUUAGUGAAUUGCCUCAUUCUAUUGGAAAUCUUGAAAGGUUGAAAAUUUUACGCAUUUGGAAUUCCUAUCUAGAAAAUUUACUAGACUCGAUUAGGAGGCUCCAAUCAUUGGUCAAGUUGGAUUUGAGCGAUUCAAGAAUCGGGAGCUUACCUGAUUGUAUUGGAAAUCUCAAAAAGUUGAAGAUACUAAAUCUCAAUUAUAGUUGCAUAAGUGAACUUCCGAAAACCAUAGGAAUGUUGGAAAAUCUAGAAGAGUUAGAUGCCUACUCUGAACAUCUAGUGGGGGAAAUUCCAAGUGAAAUCGGGGCACUAUCCUCAUUGAAAUAUCUAUACUUAGGCAACGGUCGCUUUAGUGGAUUGCCCACAAUGAUCAAUCAACUUACAAAUCUCCAGCGACUUUAUUUAUAGGACCGUAAUUCAAUCCAACAGCUGCCAAAGCUUCCCAAGAGUCUAAUGUUUUUAACCCUUACAUCGGAUUCACUGACCACGAUCCCCGACUGCUCAAACCUAACCAAUUUAGUUGACCUUACGAUAAUUGGAUAUUCAAUUGAAGAACCCAACACAGAGGGGAUCGUGAGACUACCUGCUUUGAAACGAAUGGUCCUACGCGUUGGAAAAAUGGCCUUGCCUCCGACCAAUUUCAGUUCCCUCUCUCAACUACGAAGCCUCAGCAUAAAUUAUGUUGAGCCCCAAUCUCUUAUCGGGCUCCCAUCCAGCCUUCAAGAUUUGUGGUUAUGCGAUGUCCAGUCACCGAUAGAUUGGUCAGUCUUUUCCAACUUGGAGAAUUUGUCGACGCUGUCUAUUAAUGAAUAUUCGCUGAGAGAGAUUCGAUUCGAGGUGCUUGGAGAGCUACGGAAAUUCAAUGAAUUGUGGAUGUCCGACUGUCCAUUGCUCAAGACGCUGCCCGUUCUGCCUGGUUUGAAAGAGAUCUAGUGUUUGUCCCUGGAUCGAUUGCCUUAGCUAACAGAGAUUCAGGGUUUGGGAGAAUUGAAAUCAUUGCAGGAUUUGUGUAUUUGAAAAUGCAAUUCCAUCAAAAGCUUAAACGAGUCUGAUCUUUCUAAUCUACAAAAUCUGAAAAGUUUGAGGUUUUGGCGAUGUGAAUCAUUGGAGAGGGUGCUGGGUGUGCCAAAAUCUUGUCGACUCAAGGUCGAUUAUUGCCCGAGGUUCAAUAGAGAUGGAUAAGAUAUGUAUCAUUUGAUUGGCAAAGAUAGUCGAUGAUGGUAAGUCAAUAGAAUUAGAGUUCGUUUUUUGUUGUGUCAUGUUUUGUAAGUUUUCCUUCAGCUAACCUUUCGUCUUGGUUCUAGAACCACCUCUUGCAUUCGUUCAUCCUGUUGUCUUUGAGGAAAAAUCCUCUUUCAUGUGAACGUGUGAUACUUUGACUUGCCUACUUGACGAUGGUGAUACCUAGCUAUUUUACGUUGCACGCCAGCAUAACGUUGGGAUUGACAUGCUUCACGGCACCUGUUUUGUUUAGAAAAUAUGGAUAAAGUGGAAGGGAACUUUUAGAUAGUAAGCACACUAAAGAUGCUGACAAAUGCCGGGUUUUGUUGUAAGGCUGAGGUGGUUGAGACUUGAGAGUACUGGUCUCAUCUUAUGGAGUGUUUUUUUUAAAUUAGUAGAGAACAAUCAUGAUUUAUGAGGACUGAAAUAAAGGAAUUAUUGCUUGGUUAGCAGAAGAGUGAAUCGUUGAUACCUAUUAUGCAAUAUGAGUGAUUUAGUUAUUUCCUUCACGAAGAAUUGGAGGUGUUUUUUUGGUUACUUUUGAGCUGAAGUGGAGAAGCUUCAAGUCUUGAGUCACGGUGUGAUUUGUGAACUAUCUUUCUUCAUUCUAGUAUUUAGCCAUUUAUGCGUGAAAUUCGUGCUACGAGACAAUUGAUAUUGGAGCAAAGUUGUCUCUAUGGUAAAACCACUAUUUCUUUCAAGACUAGGUUUAGCUGCAUCGAGUUGUGCAUUUUGCAAUUUCUGGUGUUAGGAAAGAGGACCUUCGUGUCAUUGAAGACUAGAUUUUGUUAAUUUUUUUAGCUGACUCAUUGCACCUUUCCUCAUCUCUCUUUUUUUGUGCUUAUAAUGUGGUUACUGUUAACUUGUUAAAUAAACAUGUUUGAUCUAUGUGUCUAUCAUUUUUACAUUUGCUGAUAAAACGUUUUUGCGCAAGCUCCUCCAGGACCAUGGUGAAAUGUUCUUUUACAUGGACAUCUAGGCUUUGGCAAGACAUAUUGUUGGUGCUACAACAACGACUUGUUCUCUUGAAUCCAUAUUAGUAAAAGGGUGAGCUAUGGAUAAGUACAUUGGUACUUUUUAGCAACCUGUACAAGGUUUCUUUUCAACUAUGUGGAUGUUUAUUGAGUUUUAUUAUGCAAUCUUCUAAUGAACUUUGUUAUUUCCAUAUAUUUCACAAUUUUGUGCUCUCUUCUUUUGCUUUUGUAUGCAUUUAAUAGAGGUCCCUUCAUCUAUGCCAUCAGUUGAAAUAGGAUAACUAGCAGUAGCAAUGAGGAUCCUACCACUGCAGCCAAGAUGUUCUAAUUAUAUUAGUUUAAACAACAACAAUGAGGAUUCUCCCAUAACCAAUGAAGAGGCCAAGUUAAAAUGGUUCUUGAGUUUUCUCACACAUGAAUGACAGAAUCCUCUGUGAAGAUUAAAAGAAAGAUUAAGAUGUAAGAUAUUUGAAGUUUUUCUCUCCUAGAAAUUUGAAAUUUAUGAUCAAAUGUCUAUUGGAUCAUCUGUUCAACACAUUGGCAGCAUUGAUUUUGUGAACAAACUAGAGAAAUUUUGAAUAUUUGAGAGUAUUCGCAAUUUUAAAAUUAUAGGUUCAGAUAUAUUCUCGAAGGCAACGGCUAUAGCACCUUUACUCCUCUUUUUUCAUGAAUUUGAUUCCAUUGUGCUGAAGAGGGGGCAUGAUAAUACGGGGUCACUGACCAUGUCAUCAAUCAGUUAGUUCUUGCAUUCAAUGACACUUAUAAAGUGGUCGUGUGAAAUAUAGUUGAUGGCAUGACUCACUAAUAGUAUGUCAUUCAUUGGUGCAGUUUUUUUACUGAAUUGGAUGAUGUUGAAGUUUAAAGUGGUGUGUUUGUGUCAGUAGGGACAAGAUAAUAAUUUCGUCUUACAUAGUAACAAAAAGUACUCUCUUUACAUAGCAUACUAACUAUAAACUACUGUUGGAAAUUGCAUGGCCAUUAUGAAUGCUUUGCCAAAACAAUUUCUAUGAAGCAUUUAAUAUGGAGACUACGUAAUAACCUUCAAGGCAGACUAUUAAAUGCUAGACAUGACUUUUCCUUGAUUUAGAAUUGUUUAACUUUGGAUACACAGUAUUGGAUAAACUACAUAUGUAUCAAAGAAGGUAACAAACGACAGGAUUGCUCGAAUUACUUUUCAGUUGCUGAAGUAGCUUACAAGAAGUGUAUUAAAUUGGUCUUGAGCCUCUUUAACAGCAUCAAUGGAUGUUGAUCAUUUCAGUUUUGGGUGUGCCAAAAUCUUGAACUCAUCAUCAUUGACUGCCCGAAGCUCAAUAGAGAUGGAUAAGGUAUGUAUCAUUUGAUUAGCAAAGAUGGUCGAUGAUGGCAAGUCCAUAGAACUAGAGUUUGUUUUUUGCUGCGUCCUGUUUUGUGAGUUUUCUUUUAGCUAAGCUUUCAUCUUAGUUCUAGAACCACCACUUGCAUUCAUUCAUCCUCUUAUCUUUGAGCAAAAUUCCUUUUUUCGCAUGUCAUGAACAUGCGGUACUUUCACUUGCCUCCACGGUGGUGAUGCUUUGCUGGUUUAUGUUGUGCAUCAGCAUAAUGUUGGGGUUGACAUGCUUUGCAGAAUGUAACUUGCUUAGAUAGUAAGCACACUGAAGAUGCUAACAAACGCUAGGUUUUGUUGAAAGGCAGAGGCGGUUGAGAGUACUGGUCAUACCUUAUGUAGUGUUUUUUCAAUUUCACUACAGAACAAUCAUGAUUUGUGAGGAAUGAAAUAAAGGAAUUAAAGCCUCAUUAGCGAAAGAGUAAAUUGUUGAUACCUUUUAUGCUGUAUGAGUUAUUUAGUUACUUCCUUCAUGAAGAAUUGGAGGUGCUUUUGUAGUUACUUUUGAACUUACAUUUUGUUUGUCUGUCUGUUAUUCGUUCAUUCCCUCCCAUCUUAAAUUACCAAACACAGUUGAGGAAGAUGUUGAAAUUCGCCAAACAAGGCAUUUACAUUCUUGAAUUCUUAUUUGUUGUGCCGAUAACAUGUCUUUUUCUGAAUCCUUUGCUGUUUUGAGCUGGGUCCGGGAAUUUGAUGACUUCUACUCAUUGAUGAAUUCAAUGAGGCAAAUGCAAUAACCUGGGUUGCUCACUUUUUAAUCAUCUCUGUUUCCUGCAGUUUUAGAGAUUGAGCAAGGAUUAUCUGAUGUUGCACAAUCAAAGAUUAUUGUAAGCUUUACUCCACAUUUGAUGCCCAUGAUUAUAGUUGCAAUUUUCUAGUGUUCCCAUUCUUAAAGUUAAAAUUAUGCUUCCCUAGCGAUAGCUGUAAGCUUUCUUCAACUAUUUCUGCAGAGUCCUAAAAAUGCAAUAAACUAUUCAUGCUAAAAUGUCUUCAGGUGUAAUGGCUGGGGAUCUAUAUGAAGUUGCUAACUGGGCAAACUUUUUUCUAACUAAUAGUCCUAUUUUGCUUAGGCAUUCGAUGGCUUAAUGUGCUAAGUAUUAACCUUAGCUUUCGUUUACUGAAGUACUUAUUUUUAGUACUCAUGAUUAGCUUAAUCAAAGUACAUCAUUUAUUUCAUAGAUCUUGAUUAAGUCAAUCAAGUAGUAGACGUGUUUGGGAACUGAAACUUGAAAGAUCCGCAACUUCCUUUCAUAUUCUUGAGUGUGCUUCCCACAUACUUCAUGCUGUCUGAUCGCUUAAUUCACUUUAUCUUGCUGGACGAGGGAUUUGUUAUGCUGUUAAAAAAUGGAGUUGUUCCUCGUACUCAAAAUGUGCAAGGAUCUUAUUAUUUUUUUAUGAGUGUCUUUCUUGAUCAAGUAUCCGGACAAGCAAUACUUAUCUAUGUAGUCGGUUCCCAAGUGUCUGUUCUCCAUUAAGUGCUUUACUUUUCAUGUAACGUCAAAGUCAUCUCUUUAUGAUAAGCUGUCUAAACCUUCUUUUGCAGAUUGACAAUCAAGUGAAGGGAGCUGGUGGUCAUGUUCUGCAUAAUCUUCAAUAAGACGAUGGGUUUACCUGAGAUUGUGGGGCUUAACUACCUAUUAUUGUUUCCUUGAUGCAUUCUGCAUUCUUGUGAGUGAGGUAGAUUAUGCAUGAAUUUUGUUCAAGAAAGCUUGUAUAAUUGCAUUGGUUGUGUCCGAGCUAUAGCUAUUGUUUAUUAUUUAUGGUGACUCAUAACACCUUUCCUCAUCUUGCUCUCCUUCUCUCUCUAAAAUGUUGUCACGCCCCGACCCUCAGGCACGCACACAUCCCUUACUUUUGGUCGAUUUAAAAAUGCGAUAUCCCAGGACUAUGUAUCGCCGACCCUUUCUUUUAUAUAUGCACAUGCGGAAGCAGUUAUAAUUCCCCAGACAAUAAAGCAAUGGGAUAGAAAAGCAGGCCAUAUAUUUUUCUUACUGAAAAUUCACAACUACAUCUUUUUACAUGCGAACAAGGUCUGACAAGACAGGAUAGGAUUUCGAUCCUCAUCCGAGUCGUACUCGAUGUCAUACUCGGGGUCCUCCUCCACGUACUCCUCUUUGGGUUCCUCAACAGAGAUCUCCUCAUCAGAUUCAUGCUCCUCAAGCUCCUCAUCCAGGUCCUGAAAUGGUUAUUCAAUAACCACUGAGACCACGUCUCAGCAAGUUCUAGCUCCUAAGACCCAAUUAGUAAACUAAUAUACCUUAGGGUUGCCUACGCACAACAUGAGUCAGAGGACGUACCUUAGCCUCAGAUUCCACCUGCAUAUUAGUACAGUUCGAAUAGGCACACAAGCAAUCACAUCACAGAUCGAAGCAUCGAUCUAAUCGACUUAGUCGAUUUCACAUUAGGAAGACCACUCACGAUCAUCUCCCUUCAAUCAUUCAAUUCACAACAUCAAACCAAGGCAAUGAAUCGCAUCAAAUCACACUCAGAUCGAAUCAUCGAUCAAUCGACCUAGUCGAAUCAUUUCUAGGUCAUUCAUCCCACAUCAAGCAAUUCCUUGGAUUUAGUGGCUUUACGGUCCCACCCGACCCUCUCGAGAACUAGUGGCUUUACGGUCCCACCCGACCCUCUCAAGAACUAGUGGCUUUGCGGUCCCACCCGACCCUCUCGAGAACUAGUGGCUUUUCGGUCCCACCCGACCCUCUCAAGAACUAGUGGCUUUACGGUCCCACCCGACCCUCUCAAGAACUAGUGGCUUUACGGUCCCACCCGACCCUCUCGAGAACUAGUGGCUUUACGGUCCCACCCGACCCUCUCGAGAUGUCAUACUAUGUCACCGAGCCACGUGCAUUCUCCAGGAAGACAUACCGAGUCUCCGAGCCACGUGCAUUCUCUAAGGCUAUCUUUUCGCCAAGAUGACAUAUUAAAUCACCGAGCCACGUGUCUUUCCCAAGUGAUAUUCCAAUUCACUGGGCCACGUGCAUCCUCAAGGUGAUUUACCAACUCACUUUCGAUACUAACAACCGAUAUCCGACCAAUUCUCAAUCACAAGACCAAAAUUGCAUUAUUUAAUAACAUACUUAAAAAUGCACCAUUAAAUCAAUUCGACACAAAUUAAAGCUCAAAUAAAUAAACGGACUGCUCCACGACAAUCAGCACGAAAUUCCGGUCACUGGCCAUCCCAGUUGAAUUUCCGGAAAAUAAAUAAUUAAAUAAUUAAUUUCGAAAAUUAAAUAAAUAAAUACAAUAAAUUCAAUUUAACACAAUAUAAAGCUCAAUAAAUAACGNNNNNNNNNNNNNNNNNNNNNNNNNNNNNNNNNNNNNNNNNNNNNNNNNNNNNNNNNNNNNNNNNNNNNNNNNNNNNNNNNNNNNNNNNNNNNNNNNNNNCGAUCAUCAGCAUAAAAUCCCGUCACUGCCCAUCCCAGUGAUUUCCGGGAAAUAAAUAAUUAAUAAUAAUUUCGAAAAUUAAUAUUUAAUUCCUAAAAAUACCACAUAAGCCCGAUUUGCUUAAUUAACACCCGAUAAGGGACGGGAAAAAUCCCAAGAAGCAUCCAAUAAAUACUACAAGCAAUUCUCUAUCUAAUUACACUAAUCACACAACUAAUAUGCAAAGCAAUUAACUAAUAAUCACUAAUCAAAUCUAAUCUAACAACCUAAUUAUACUUAAUUAACACUAAUCAACCUUUAAGUAUAAUUAGCGCACUAAGAAGGCGUUAGUGAGUAAAACUCACUCAAAACGACGGGCUCGACGCGAGGGUCGACUUUCCUCAAAGCGGGCCAAGCAUCCGGGCUCGGGAAGGCGGCCAAAACGGGCCAAACAGUUGCUGCAAACCUAUUUUCUGCACUCACUGAUCGCUGCUGGUUGGAGGUGAAGGAGGGCGGAUUCGGGGCUGGUUGAGCUCGGGAAUGGGCGGAGGAGCUGAACAAGACCAAGGCGAGUCUUCACGGUGGCCGGAGGUGGUUGGAGGAAGCUCCGGCGGGUCUUGCACGAGCUGGACAGAGGCGGAACAGGGGUUGGACAGCAGCUCUGGAACAGCGAGCUGGGUGAGAGGGAGACCGAGCUGAGCGGAGCAGCGGCGGAGCGCACGGCGUCGCGCGGGCAGCGGUGCGGCAGCUCCGGUCCAACAACGCCAGCUGCUGCCCCAACUCCAGUGUCCUCCUAGAUCUGGAACCCCGAGCAGCGAACAGAGGGGAAGACAGAGGUGCCGACGGCGGCUGGAAUGGGUGAGGGAGAGGCGGAGAUGAACGACGGAGCAGCGGAGCGGGUGAUGCGCCGGCGAGGACGGCUUGAGGCAUGAGGCGGUGUGGAGUAACGACGGCAAGCUACUGUCUCUGUUUCUGCUUCGUUCGAACCAGAGGAGGGAGAGGGGGCGGAGAUGUGCAGACGGCAGCACGGCGUCAGGCUCGGGUGCGCGAGCAGCUCAGGUCCAGGUGGGCGUGCGACGACAACGGCGAGAGGUGAUGACUGCAGCUCAGUCUUCACUGGUCUUCAGCUCCCAUGGAGUUUUGAAGAAAAAGAAGAAGAUGGGGGAGGAGUUCGGUCGACGAAGGAGGAGAGAGGGGAGGAAGAAAAACUCAAUUUCCCUUUCUUUUCUCUCACUCUCUCUCUCUCUUAGGUCAGCCACACAUGGCCACCACCAGCUGUCUCCCACUCUUCAAUUUUUGACAAACAUGCCCCCUUCUAUAAGAUUUAGGUACGCUAAAGAGUUGGGUUUAUAGGCAUACUAAUUUUGCUAACGAUUCUUUUCUAAAUGGAACCUUAAUUCCUCUUGAAUUAAAUCAAAGUGAUCCCCGUUAAUAUAUGCAACACCUCAUCAUUGAAAUUGGUAUUUUCCAUACAAUAUAGCCCANNNNNNNNNNNNNNNNNNNNNNNNNNNNNNNNNNNNNNNNNNNNNNNNNNNNNNNNNNNNNNNNNNNNNNNNNNNNNNNNNNNNNNNNNNNNNNNNNNNNGUAUUUCUUCUUCGUGUCUAUCAUUUUUACAUUUGCUGAUGUAAAAUGUUUUUGUGCCAAGCUCCUAUAAGGAAUGGUCAAAUGUUCAUUUACAUGGAUGUCUGGGCUUUGGCAAGACACACAUUGUUGGUUCUGCAGCAGCAACUUGUUCUCUUCAAUCCAUAUAAGUGAAAGUGCUGAGACGUUCAAUAAGUACACUGGUACUUUUGAGCAAGCUGUAAGAGGCUUCUUUUCAACUUCACCAAUGUUGAUUGAAUUCCAUUGUGCAAUCUUGUAUUAAACUUUGAUAUUCCAGACAUUUCACAAUUUUGUGCUUUCUUUUGUUGCUUUUGUAUGCAUUUAACAGAGGUCCCGUCAUGUAUGCUAGCAGUGAAAAUUAGAUAAUUAGCAGCAACAAUAAGGAUGCUCCCGCUGCAACCAAGGUGUUCUAACUAAAUUAUUGUCAACAACAGCUCCCAUAACCAUUGAAGUGGCCAAAUUAAAAAGCCAAUUAUAACCGAUUCUCUUCUGAAGUCCGUUGCUUCGAAGGGAAGACUGUCAGUCUCAAAUGCCGAGAAAAGAAGACUCCGUAGAAAUUUGAAGUAGCGGCAAGGUAAAAUGUUUUUUUUUUUCAAUUAGAAUAAUUCAUACUUAUUAAACACGCUAAUUACUUCUACGAUCAUGAAUAUACCAAAACGAUCAAAUGUAGAGACCAUUAGUAGAUUUUAAAAAUUCCAUGGGUUUGUAAAAGCCAUUGGCUUUUAAUGGCACGUCACGCGUUACGUUUGACCAACGACUCUUAGGUGCGGAAGGCGGCGACCUUAUGCUGAUUUCACAUUUUCUAGUUUUGCUCUGACGAAAGAAAACGAGUGGAAAGUGGAGUAUAGGCAAAAAUCAAUUGAUCAUGGCUCAGCAAAGCAGAAUGGAAGUCUAGCCCCAAUCGAGAAAAGCUAAUCUUAGUGCAGAAUUUCUCAAGUUCUAUCCAUCACAAGGAGGUUAAUCAUUUUAGCAUGCAAAAUCUUAUUUUUUUAAGGAUACGUCACUAAUUAGUUAUUAGUAGGCUGAUUAAAAAAGUUGAUCCUUUUUAAUAUGAUGAGCAAAACAAAAGCAUUUAAUAUCCGGUAUUUCUAGCCUAAAGAUAAAGGAAGAGAUUUCUCAUUGAACAAACAAAAAGAUAAAAGGGGAUCCAUUAUGCUUUGGUCACACCGGAUGUUGGGCAAAUUCUAUGAGAUAUUGCAUUGAACUUUGAUCUAUAUGUAAAAGAACAUAGAGGAGUCGAAUGCUUUCUCUAGAAUUAUACAUGGAGAUUCUGGAUUCUCUGAAUAUAUAUAAAAGUCAUAAUGCAUGACAAAGUUUGAAAGUACCAACCAUAAAACUUUUUGUGUCAAGAAAAUGCCCAAAAAUACGAUUAUUUAUGUUUUGACAUAAUUUCCGAAUGUGACUCUAAAUAAGAUUUUCAUUACAUAUAUACAUAUCUCCUAAUUCUAGGAGGGUAGCAUAUACAUUUGAAAGCGAAAUGAACUUAGUACAUUUAAAUUUAACAAAAUAUCACCUAAAUACAUGAAAAAAGUGAAAAAGAUCAUAUUAAAAAGGAAAAGUUGCAUAUAAAUUGUGGGUGGGCCUAAUUAGAUCCAAAUAUUUUUUUGUGAUACCAAAAUCCCCAAACUUUUGUUUUGCGACACUAAAUUUUAAGGGUGAAUGUAUAGAGAAUUUUUAUAUCAUAAGAAGAAGUUUGGGAUAUAUAUACAAAUUUGGGAUUCCUGAUGCCAAAGAAAAGUGUGAGGGUAAACGGUGACCAAACUGCCCUCACUUCUUGACAAAUUUCCGUAAAAAAUAUCCGGACCGUGAAAAAUCCCGCGCCAAUUCCAUAAAAAAACACGAACUUUAGGUGUUGUCCCAAAUCUGGCCCGAGCUUUAUUUUGUCUUAAAAAAAAGCAUGAACUUUAGGGGUUGUCCCAAAUCUGGCCCGGAUUUUAUUUUGUCUAAAAAAAAAGCACGAACUUUAUGUGUUGUCCCAAAUCUGGCCCAAAUUUUAUUUGAGACAAAAUAAAGUAAUUCUAUUAUAAAUAGGCUUCCUACAAGAUAGAUGCACACGCUUUUAAUAUCUCGUUUUAAGGCAAUGUAAUCUUCUGUUUUCAAUCCAGUUUUUGACAUUGCAAACAAUUUGCCAAUUGUUAAUUGAUCUAAUGGCCCUAGCUAUGUGCCCCAUCCCCUGGAACUGAAGCUGCUGAAUUAUUUUUCCCAUGAGAAUCAUCUGUAAAGUUCACCUCAUUGGAAGACAAACUUAAAUUUAACACUUCCUCCAAACACUCGAAUACAGCAUCAUUUUGUUGUGUUGGAUAUUAUUGCUGACGUGGAAAUGCCAUGUUGGAUGACUGUGGAAUGAGGGUUAACGGAUGGCAGAUUUGAGACACAAGUGAAAAUUUAUGCCUUUUUUUAGACAAAAUAAAUUUCGGGCUAUAUUUGGGACAAUACUUAAAGUUCGUGCCUUUUUUUGAGACAAAAUAAAGUUCGUGCUUUUUUUUAGACAAAAUAAAGUUCAGGCCAGAUUUGGGAUAACAGCCUAAAGUUCGUGCUUUUUUAUGGAAUUAGCCCGAAAAAUCCCCUACUCUUCCCUUGGUCACCGCAAGCCUCCGCCACUCGCCGCCGCGUCGCCGUCGUAUCCCCUUCCCGUGCCAUCACCCCUCGUCAUCGAGCCGCCCCCGGCCAUCGCCUGCGCUGAUCGUUUCGCGUCCCGUCUCGGCCAAGCCACCAUCUCUCUCCCUAUCUCCCCGUGUUUCCUCUUCGAAGCAAUUAUUUUGUCAAUCUGAACGGCUUUUUCACUUACGAAGGAAGGCCGCCUGUAACUUCUAGGCAGACGCAGCGAAAGUGAGAGAUCUCUCUCCGUUGCUUUAUCAAGUUGCUACGAGGAUUAGGCUCGGACUUCCCAAGUCACCGGGCAGGCCCAAUUCGGAGAUCCAGAAUGAAGAGAAAGCGGGAGGGAGACGAGACGGCGACGGCAGCUGGAACAGCCUGCUGCCGCGAUGGCAGAUCGGGGAGGGGUUACGAGGUGUUCCUGUUUUUGGGCUUUUGCUUCCACUAGGCUGAAGGUGCUGCUGAAGGAGAUGUUUGUGNNNNNNNNNNNNNNNNNNNNNNNNNNNNNNNNNNNNNNNNNNNNNNNNNNNNNNNNNNNNNNNNNNNNNNNNNNNNNNNNNNNNNNNNNNNNNNNNNNNNGUCUUAAGAGUACUUGUGGCGAUUGGUGGGAUGAUGCUUGCAGGCUGCAGCAAUACAAGCCGGUCGAGAUGAAACUCCUAGCUCAACAGAGGGAUCUUCAGGUGUGUUGUUGUAUUCUGCUCUGUCAGUUUGGCGUAAUCGCUGGCUUUCUAUAAUGCGUAUUUUUGCUGGCAAAGGUUUCCUGACUUUAUCGAUGCUAGUUUGGGAUUUGUUAUUAUCGACAUCCCUUUAGAUGUUUGUGUAUAAUUUCUCAUUGACUGAUUCUUUUGUAUCGUUAUAUCUGCUAUUGAAUUCGCUGUUGAGUUACAUUUCGUUGUUCAUUUUCUUCGUGCGAUUACAAAGAAAGACCCGGAUUCAAAUGUACUGCUGAAUACCAUAGCCAUUAUCCCUCCUGUCGGCCCUUGUGCUAGCACCGGACCUUGUUUAUUUCUUUUCUUUUUCUUUGGUUUUUUUGGUAUAGUAUAACCAAUGCAGUGUUGAAAUGUUGCGCAAUGGUUAACAUGGAGGUGGGCGUACGUGCAUGUGUGGGUAAAGAACUUUGAAUCAUUUAAGUGUGCAACUUUUUUCUUGAUUCUUAGGAGGUAUAAAGACAUGAUUAGAGAUAUUGAUACCAAUUGUUAAUCACGAUGAAUAUUUAGUUUCAGGAAAAAGAAAUGUACUAGGUUGAGACAGACAAGUAACACAACAAGACUAUGCUCUCCACGUUAGGAAAUUUUCUCAUUUAAAUGUACGGGGAACAUGCUGAUUGGGGGUUGCAUCUUGCAUGUUAUACCUUAUAAAUCUUCCUUAUACUUUAUUGCAUCAAAUGGUUUGUCAUUGAAAAACGUCCGUAUUAUCUCCCAUGUUUAGCAGUCGUGCAUUAGAGGCUUUCAAUCGCUUAUCUUAAAAUGAGUAGGAAUUAUCUGCAUUUAGGUUCUAUUUAAAAACGGAAUCAAUUCGGCGGAUCUUUCUCGUCCUUUCAGAAAGCGCAAGAGUAUAGGAAGAGAUAUUGUUUUGCGUUUUAUUCUAGUUCAGAGCCUGGUUAAUGGUAUUGUGAAAACUGACAAAAGAAAGGUGGAGAUGUAUCUAAUUCUAGAGUUCUUUUCUUUUCAUUUUUUUAAAAACUGUUUCACAUUGGUUGUUAUUCUCUUUUUGCUGAACCCUUAAUGAACUCAGAGCUGGUAUUAGUGUCGUAUAUAGAACAAAAUAAACAAUUCAUUUGUUUUAUGUGUCCCUUCAUUUAAUUAGGAGAAUGCUUUCUCGCUGAUUGAACAUCCUUCAGAAAGCAAUGGUUAUCAUGCAAACAUCUUAGUAGAGUUAUUUACAUGAAUCUAACAAACUUGGGGUAAGAAGUUAGUCUUAGAAAUUGUUAACCACAUGUGAAGUCUCAAGCCGUCCUUUCCCUUAAUGCAAGAUUUAAAGGCUCUCUUAUUUCUAUCUCUUGACUAAGAAAAAGGCUAAGAUUUGGAUUGGGUAUGAUUCAAUUCCAUGGUCACCACGUCUUAUCUGCAUCUUUUCCAGCAUAUCCAUGUCCGAAGGAGAUCCAGUCUGAGGGCAACAUAUCGGUAGGUGAUCUGAGGAUUCUCAUUGACUUUGCCAUAGCUAGUAUCUGUUCGUAUGCACCCUUCUUCUUGUUUUUGUUCUUCUAAAAGGUCGACCCCAUGGCAGUCAUCUUCUUUUGUAUCUGGUGUGAUUGGUAGGAGCCUUUCACUGUUGCUGGACUCCUUAAUAUUGGAAUGAUAGUCUCCAUUACUGUAACAUAUUCAUGUGGUGAUAGUAUAGCCACAAGGUGGGCUGCUGCAAGAGAUUUUUGUUGCAAGAAUGACUCAUUUGAUGAUUUGGCUAAUUUUGUUCACGAUCUUGUGGUGAUUUGGGUGUUUUGGUUGUUUAACCAAUUCCUGACUGACUCUUCAGAAGUUUGUAUCUUCAAAGAGCACAUAUAGCAAAGUUUAUCCCCACUCCCGCAAUCUGCGCAUACCAUAAAAAGCCUGUAUUUAUUUCCCGGAAUUACGCUUAUUUUAUUGAUGAGUGAUGACCAAACCUCACCUGGUCCACGGCAAAAAGUUGAUGGAGAAAUCCAUCCCCUAUAAAAUUCACCCAGUCUUCACUAAAAAGACAGAAUUGCUCAAAUCAUUCUAUUGCAAUUUAAUUGGUAGCCCCAAAUAUAUUUCAAUGGAUGAUUUAGUUACCAUAAUUAAGAAUUUCACGUGUUCAGUUUUUCAUAAUUGUAGGUAUUAUUAAAAACACCAUUUCUUUAUUCAUUGUUAGAUUUUUCUUCCAUAAAAAUUAUUUGUGUAAAAAAGAAAUUUCCAAGAUAUCUAGUUUGUUGAGCAAAUUUAAGGAUAAAUUUUCAACUAGAAUCUAGAAAAAAAAUUAUUAUAUAAAUAAUUUUUUAACACAAUUACUUGUUUACAAAUUUUCAAUUUUGUUGUGCAUAUCAUUAUCAAAUUCCUUAUCGUUCAAUCAAAUAAAAUUCCUUCCCAUUGGUUCUCUUCUUUAUAUAUAUGGGAUGAUAAGAUAAAUCAAGAAGGACUAGCAAAGAUUUUAAACUUAUUUCAAAAUAAAGAUUCAGGUAUUAGAUCAAAAUCUUGAAUUUAUCUAACAAAUUUAGAUAAAUUAUCAAAAGGGGUCUUUAAGUUUUUGUUAUCAAUCAAGAAGGACCAGCAAAAAAUUUAAUAGUGUAUUACAUUUCAAUAUGAUACCUAUCACAAAUAUAAUUAUUCUUCUGUCUGAUCAAGGAUCAAUUGAUCAUGCCAUUUGGUGUGACAUUGGACUAAAUAUAAGGAAAUCAGCUUUGUUGGGCUUAGCAAAAGCAAAAUGGAAUUCCGGCUCUAGCUGAUAAAAGCUAAUCCUUCUAAAUUUAACGAGCAAAGCAAAAGCUAUUGUGUAUAGUAAAUGUUCCACAAUGAAAGUAUGUAAUAAUUUUGUUGAUAUUUACUAUGAAAGUAAGUAAUAAUUUUGUUGAAUGAUAUGAUGUGAACGAUAUCUUAUUUGCUAGUACCAGAUCCCACCAGCACAUCGUAAGUAAGCAAUAAUUCUGCUUGAGUAAUAACUCUGUUGCAGUGAUUGGACGGUGACCAGUCUUAUUGCUCAUGCUGCUACAGUUUCUGGCGACUAUCUUCCCUUGGUGAUUUUGUUCUUAUUCUAACAAGUUGACCCCGUGGCAGUCAUCUUCUUGUGUAUCUCCUCGACGGUGUGAUUGUUAGGGGGUAGCUUUUCACUGUUGGUGGACUCCUUAAUUUUGGAAAUGAUUUUCUUCAUUACCGCAGUAUAUUCAUAUGGUGAUUGUCCAGCCGCAAGGUGGCUUGCUGCAAGAGAUUUAUGUUGCAAGAAUAAUGCAUUUGAUGAUCCAACUAAUUGUUUGUGAUCUUGUGGUGAUUUGAGCGUUUUGGUUGUUUAACCAAUUUCUAACUGAUUCUUCAAAAGUUUGCAUCUUCAAAGUUUAUUCCCCCUCCCGUAAUUUAUGCAUUCUUACCAUAAAAGCAUGCAUUUAUUUCCUGGAUUACACACAUUUUCUUGAUGUGUGAUGACCAAGCCUCGCCCGAUGGCAAAAAGUUGAUGGAGAAAUCCAUUCCUUGUAUAACUAAAUUCACUCAAUUUUCACUUAAAAGAUAAAAUUGUACCAAAUAUUCAAUUGCAAUUUAAUUGGUAGCCCCAAAUUCAUAAACUUUUUUUUUUCCUUUUAGUUUUUCUAUUUCAAUGUAAGAUUCAGUUGCCAUAAUUAAGAAUUUCAUAUGUCUAGUUUUUCUUUAUUGUAGGCAUUUCAAAUAUAUUAAAAACACCAUUUCUUUUAUUAACUAUUAGAAUUUUUUUUUCUAUAAAGCUUAGUUUUGUUGAAAAAAGAAAUUUCCAAGAAUCCUAGUUCUUUUACAUGUUGUCAAGGAAAAUUGAGGAUAAAUUGUCGAGUAGAAUCUAGAAAAAAUUAUUAUAUAGAUUUUUUUAACACAAUCACUUGUUUGCAAAUUUUCAAUUUUGUUUUGCAUAUCAUCAUCAAACACCUUUUCAUCAUUUGACGAAAGAAAAUUCCUUCUUAUGGGUCCCCGCCCCCCUCCCCCCUCCAGCCAGCCCAGCCCAGCCCAGCCCAGCCCAACCCACACAGAAGGAUGAUCGGAUAAAAAGAAAACCCUCUUGAAGGUUUGAAGAUUUUCCAAAAUAAAAUCACAAUUACAUUCUCCAAUGGAAAACUUUAAAGAAGAAAUUUAAUUAAAUUGAAAAAUUACAUAAAAUAAGAAACUUUUAAAAAUGUUGAUGAAAUCUCAUUAUUUGGAAUUGAUAGAAAUUAAUAUCGUUGACGAAGCAUGUACGAAAAUAUAUCUAGAUGCUUCAUUAUGCACAAUGGUUUUAGUGUAUUCCUAGUUUUUCCACAACGCCUUAACAUCUGUGUAAAAGUAUCUCACAAUAAUAAGGGAAAAUGAUAAGUUCUUUAAUAUUAUAUAAAAAGACUUGAUACAUAUUUUGGACUAAUAAAAUUAAAAAAUAAAUAAUUCAUCAAGAAAGUGAACUUUUGAGAUAAGAGGGAGAAAUAAUAAAUGAGUAUUUAUUAGAGAAAUGAUGAAAAGAGACUUUCAAGGUGUUGAUCAUGUAAAAUAAUUUGUGUUUUUUUCUAACUAGUGGCUUUUAUAUAGAGCAUGUAAUACGUUAUAGUAAUAUUUAAGGAUACACUAAAAACAAUUCUUUAAUACGUUAAGAAAAAUAAAACACAUGGAAUGCAUAAUUAUGGCAAUUAGAAACAGUAGGGAAGGAAACAAUGUGAUUGUCACUUUAAAUUGCAAUUGAAUGGUUGAAGGCAAUUUAGCCUUUCUAUUCUAAAUAGUAAAUGGGGUGGAUUGGAUUAUAUAGGGUCAAAAUAGUGCCGCCCAAAAUUUAAAGGAGAAAUUAAAAUCACAAUGGGAUAAUAUUUUCUUUUCCAUAUAGAAAGAAUGUUAGCUCUUGUGCACGCUUUUUAUUCCUACGUCAUGAAUAGACCAAGAUGAUAGAGUGCAGAGGUCAUCAACAGAUUUAGAAACAUUUUGUGUGACUUCACCAACAAUUGGCUUUUAAUUGCUUUUAACAGUGUAUCAUGCAUUAUGGUCAUCUGCACUCUCGGAUACGGAAGGUGACUUUGUGCUGAUUUCACAUUCACAAUUUUGCAAUGACAAAAGAAAAAGAGUAGUCAAUGGAACAAAGGCAACAUUGAUCAUUUGGCUUAGCAAAAUCAUAAAGGAAGUCUGGCUCCGGCUGAGAAAAGCUAACCCUUUUUAAGUUAAGGAGCAGAAUAGAAGCAAUUACAGUCUGCUUUUUUCUAGACUAGAAAUUGAGGAAGAGACUUCUCACCAAAAAAACAAAACGGACAAAAGGAUUAAAGGGGAUCCAUUUAUCCUUCCUUAGAGGUCAUGCCAAAUCGUCUGUUUAUGGAGCCAGACCACUGGCAUCAUCUUAUGUUAUUAUAAUUCUAUAUAUGUCUAGAAGGAAAAAGGCAUUAAGACAAGCGUCUAGGCUGGGAUCCCGUGAUUCGUGCAAUGAUUGAAUUGCAUAAUUUGAAUUAAAAUACAAAUCUGUGAUAACAAAAAUUAGAUACAAUUCUAACUGAUUUGUGAGCCUAUUCCCUCACUUUUUGUUUCUCAAAUUUAAGCGCAUGUAUGAGAAGCUUAAUUUUUACGUGAAACUAAUCGUCAGUAUCGAUAAAACAUUUUAAAUUUCCGUGUGUGCGUAUGUGAAGUGAGUCUCUAUACAAUCGCAUAAUAUUAUAUUUUAAACUUGGUGCCCACCUUAAAAAUGACAUUAGGAAAUGAUCACAUUUUGUGUGUGUGCAUGUGUGAAUAAUCUGCAGAAAUGGAGAAUAAAUCUAGACCGCAUUCAAUGGAGCUAGAGAAAGGUUCAAUGCCUUCGGUUCAUUAGAGACGUCAUCAUCGAUCCAUUAGCAAAAAGUAGUUGAUUUAACCAUAAAAUUUUGGGCUUGGCACUUAUAAGAAAGAAAAAUUUUGCUCAUAAAAAGAAGAAAAAAGAAAUAAAGCUCUUUGGUCGUUUCAUGGAUGUUUCUAUGAUCUUUCCAAAAGGCAUUCUAGGAGGGCCUGCAAUUGUUAAACCACAAAAUAAUGGAUCUCAACUGUGAAAACAAAGCUUUUCAAGUUUUUACAAAUUGCUAUAAUUUGCAUUAUGACAGGUAUCGAUCAAUCAACUAAUCAAAAAAUGGAAAUAGUUGCAUGGAUCGUGGUCUAUAGAACAAAUGUGAUCACAUCCAUUGAUGUUUGGGUGUUCCGUGUAUAAUAUAUGUCAUAAACAAUUUUGUGAUAAAUCCGUUUAUGUGGAUCCGAGUACUGUCAAGCUAACCCAAUAAAGCCAACAUGAGUUAGGAGAGAGAAAGAGCUUCCUUAAGAAACAAAGACGAACUUGAGUUCUCUUUGCUUAUAAUAUACGCAGGUCUAUCUUCAAGUUUUUGUCCGGCCCUCUUGUGAAAGCGAAAGCAAAAGCAACAGCACUGAGGUAUGUUUGUCUAGUCAAUUCAUUUGCACAUACCCAAAUUCCACGUCAAACAGACUCGUUUGUUCAUGUGGUCACGCGCGUGCGUUUUGCAAUUUCAGGACCAGGACCUAGAAAAUACCAAGAAACUCAGGUUGAUAUCAUCAAAAAGCAUAAAGACCCUUCUUCAAGAUUAAAAAUGUUUCGAAAAUCUCAACUUUGUUGAUCUCCUUGUGGAGGAGGAACUGUACUUUCUUCGCAAUUUCCACAAAAGAAUAAGCUAAAGUCUCCCUCUUAGGACCCUUUUAGCUCAACGAAAGGUACAUGUAAUUUGCAAAGCAAAACUCAAAUUGCGUAAAAGAUUGACAUUAGCAUGGACCUAAAAUUAAAGAAUAUAGAAAACUUUAAUCAAUAUCUUUCAAUUUUUUGAACCAUUAGGUGUAAUUGAAGUGCAUAGACUUCGAAGAAGGUCAGCCAAAUAAAAUUGCCCAAUCUAUUAUGUAGAGUUAAACUGAAGCUGAAAGAGUGGUUGCUCCUAUACCGGUCACGCCACACUUCUCUAUAGCUCUAUACUUAUGACGUGACAAAACACUUAGCAUUGUGUUGCCAUGUGGUCCAAUGACCUUACAAAUUAUUUAUAUGUCUUCUUGUAAUUCAUGUGUUAUUUUCUAGUGCUAUUUAUAGAAAACAUCAACAUUUAAUCAUCUUCAAAUACUAGAAAAACUGAUUAUAUCUAGAGGUAGGCUUAGGCAAAACAAUAGAUUUAAACUUAGCCGAAGUGAUUGAAUCAAACAAUGAAUAGAAUGGAUGUGUUUUAUAAGUAAUACAUACUCCAGUAAUUGUCAUCUUCCAUGGAGCAUCCACUUUUUUUGUGAUAAAAUUCCGAUCAUUGUGAUUUUAUGGUGUUGGAAAGCUUAUUAUUUAAUUUUAGAUGAAAUUAAUCGAUUGGAUAAAAUGGACAAUCGAACCCAUUUUCUCCCACGGACGCUGGUGACUUCAAUUUUGCUAAAAUGCAAUUCACCUCGGAUUGUGGCUUUUGGGUGGUUGGGUCAGAUAGAUGAACUUUGCAAAAAGUCAAGUACACUCGAUUAUACGUAGCCACCCUUCCAACUUGAAAGGGGGAGGUGGAGGGUUCGAAUUCUCACAUUCUCAAGGAAGGGUUGGGGUGGGGAUGAGUAAGUUUUACAAGUGGGUUUUGACUCCCCCACACCUGCAAGGAGGCAGGGCAAAAAUUUGAGAGAAUGAGUGUUAGAGUAAGAAUAAAGUAUGACCGACCGAAAAAAGAAAAGAAAAUUAUAACCUUUCACUAAACUUUUAAUUGAACUUUUAAUGAGGUUUGCCUCUCGGUCAACUUUGCUAUGGCAUUGGAGGGUCGCUCGUGUCUUUAGUGACCUUUCGCAUGUGUUCAAUGAUGCAAUGGAGGCUCUGUCCACCAGUGAUUAUCUAUCGAGCAAUCGAGCUUCGCCAUUUCUAUUCCUUAUUUGAUGGAGUUAGCCAACAACGAGCACGACCAUUUUAGGGUCCAUUCGUCAUAGCCGAAAUAAUAUAUUCUGGAGUUCUACUGUUCUUUUGGUCUUUACUAUAUUGGAUCCAAAUUGAAUGUGAAAGAGCUCUGACUUCUACUUCUAACAUAUUAUGAAAACUUUGGCCUUGAUGAAUUGUAUUAUGUCUGAGAAAUCUUGGCGACAGUGAGGACUUAGCUACAUAAUCCGUAUGGUACAUAUUUUCUUUGAUAUGAUGAGGAAUUGGCCACAGACAAAGAUGCCAACCUCAUCUAGCGGACUAUCCACAACCAUAUGGUACCUAAUAUGCACAAAUGAAAAAGCGCCUUUGAGCUCUCCGUGCACAUCAGCGGGGACAACAAAAGAUUAUUAAUUAGUCCUUAUUAAUUAAUCUCAUUCUUUCUCAACUACAUGGACUUUACCUUUUUUUAUAGUCGUGUCUUCCUCCUAUCUUAUCUCUCACUUGACAUAGAGCUAUGUAUCGUAAGCUCAUAACUAAGUAGGGCAUUAAAUUGGUCGAAUGUUCUUGAUCAGUCAGACCAGUGGAAUGAGCUACAUCCUCAACUAGCGUGCGCCCUUUCUCGGGUUCAAAGGGACUCCCCGUCGUCGAGAUCUAGCUAGGAACAAAGGUUCCCUGUCAUUUCGAUGCCGCAAAAACGCUUAUUUCGUUUCAUGAUUGUACAGCAAAAGCAAAGGUAAAGAGCCUACGUAUGUGACCCCAUUUCAGACACGUGGAAUACAAAGGCUGAAAUUAUUUGGGACCCACAAGCGUACCUAUCCCACGUCGGGACGUGAAAGUCCAAAAUUACCCCGCACGCAGGAAAUGGGAAAUAUUAAGAGCCUUUUUUAUAUAUGUAUGGAUGAAGAGAGAAGGGGGAAAAUAAGCAUUUUAGAAAUAUAAGUCCCAUGUCAACUGAUUAUAUUUGAACAUCUUGACAAAAUUGGUCUUGAUGGGUUAUCAACACUGUGAGCCUCCGUUACAUCCCACUCGAUGCAAAGGAGUAUAAGAAGAAGGCUUUGGUCAUGUGAAAGCAACGAUCCAAUUUCAAGAUUCAAAACAUCACAAUUUCAGCACAGGGUUGUCCGCCUGAGUAGCAAUUACAUCUAAACCCUUCUCGGUAUCAGGAAUAUAGCCAAUGAAUUAAUUACACAAUAAAAUCCAAAUGAAUUAUGAUGCUUAACAUGAUAUAAGAAGUUAUAACCCGUUAUAAUAUGAUAAUCUCUCUUUAGAUGGAUCUUGAAGUUAUCUAAUCAUGAAAAUUAUUUACUAGUUUUGAUGUUUCAAUUUGAAAGCAUUAAAGCGAAAAGGAUGGCUUUUUAAAGUCCUACCAAAUAAUUUCUUUUUAAUAAUUGAGAAUAGAAAUCAAUAGUCCGAGAAAUUUUCCUUAAUGAAACAAACCAUCGUUUUUUCAUGUUCUUCUCUCCUCUCUUGGCCCCUUCUCCUACUCCACUGAUGUCGCUUUAGUGCAAGCUUCGACAACCUUUGGCAGCUUUCUAGCUCAAGGAAGGCAGCCAGCACAUGAUUCAUGAAAUCUUUAAAAAGGGAAACAUUCAAUCAAAUUUCAAUUUGUUGAGUUUUUUAAACCCGUGGUCCGUAUGCUCGUAAAACCAGAGUCUUAUAAUUUAUCAUCUCUCGAAUUGUUGAUAUGAAUGCCAAGUACCAGAAUAUGACUCCACACUUUAUUCAAUAUCAUGACUAGGUAGAAGCCACAACAAAACUAUUUGGACAUUUGCCGGAAACCAUUAAAUGAGUAGAAUCGGUAGACCAAUUCUUGCCAAUGUUAUUGUGAACAAGUUGUCUUUACUUUCAUCGAACCAUCCCAACAUGAUGGUCUAUACUUGCAAAAACGAUUGUUAUCAAGUCUUGAUUUAAGAUUAACCAACUUGAUCAAAAAACACUUUGUAACAGAAGAGUCCUCAUUAUAUGAAGCACCAUUGCCCACAAGGACCAUGAGAAUGAUUCCUUGAAAGCAAGAUGAAUUUCAGCUCAAAACUUGAUAAAAUUUAAACUCAACUUGAACUUAACCUUCACGCGACUUCAUCGACCAAGCAUGAACUCCCAAAAGUUGCCGAGAGAUUGGGCAAAUAUCCUCAAGUCUCGCACCAAAGUUCUCGCGGAACAGCUAUGCACCACCCUUUUUUCCUCACUUUUUUGUCUCUAGUGGCCGGCCAAACCAAGAGUGAAGAUGAAUGGGUAGAAUCCACGUGGCAAACUUAGAGUUGUUAACUUUUCUUUUAUAAAGAAGGGUGGUCGGCCCCUUGAAAAAAUUGCAAUUUGGUCUGUCGGGGGAUCCAAUUUUUUGAGGGCUUUUUUAAUUUUUGUCCGGUCAACUUGAUCUCAGAUGCGUAGGCAAUCUUUUGUAUCUUUGGUUUGAUUUACUGGGCGAUGAGAAGAGUGAGCUGACGUAAAUCCCUCGGUGGCUUGUGCUAAUUCGAGCCAAAUUGACAUUUAGCCAACCUAGUUAAUCUUUUAAUGCCACGGUCUGCAUUAGAAAGUAUAAUACGUUCACAAUAAUUACGAUGAGCUAUGAUUGAAGUUGAUCAAUCAAGUGUGCGUUUGAUAAUAUUUUUGUUUAGGAGAAUAAUUUCUUUUUAUAUAUUUCUAUUUCCUGAAAUAUUUUUUUAGUAAAAGAAUACGUUUGGUGACUAUACAAAAUUUAUAUUCUCGAAAUAGAAAAAGAACAAAAAUGCGUUUGGUACAACUUACGAUUUUUUUUUGUAACGUAGAUCUUUUUUUUUUGCCCUCUCUUCUUCUUCUUGCUCCUCCUCUAGCCGGUAGUGGUGGCAUUCAAUAAGCGGCAGCAACUGGUGACCCGUGGCGGCGGCCACACGAUUGGCGGCAGUGGCUGGCGGACAACGAGGGGGUGGUGGGCUGUGAGGAAGAAGAAGAAAAGGAAAGAAAAGAAAAGAAAUAAAAUAACUUAUUUGUAAAAAUUGUUUCCUGAAAUAAGAAGUUAUUUUUUUUCUAUUUCUUAUUUCUAUUUCAAAUCUAUUUUCUAGCUAAUUUUCUAUUAUGAGAAAUAGAAAAAUUAGUUGAUGUACCAAAUAGAUUUCUGUUAUUAUUUUGUUCCGGAAAACAAAAGAAUAAAAGACUAGAGAAAUUGGCAAGUUACCAUACACAUCCCAAGGAACCAUAGAAGGGAAAUAGUUGCAUGGUUCAUGGUCUAUGGACCAUAUGCAAUCACAUCCGUUGAUUUUUGUAAUUUAUAUAACUAAUGAUUUUAAUAGACCCGAUUUAUGUGACCUAAGUAUUGGCAAGUCUAAUCUUACGAAGCCUAUUUGAGUUAGGAGAGAGAAUGAACUUCCUUGAGAAAUAGAAAUGAACCUGCCUUUUCUCUUUGCUUAUGAUGAUGCAAGUCAAUCUUCAAGUCUUUGUCCAACCCUCUUGUGAAGGCAAAGGAGAAAGCACCGAAGUAUGUCUUGUCUAGUCAAUUGACUCGUUAUGCAUUGGUCUGCACAUAGUCAAAUCGCACGUCAAAUAGGCUACUAAUUCGUGUGUUCACACAGGUACACACAAAGAUGCCAACACUUACAAGUUCCGUUUGGAAAUUGGCAACCCACUCGCAAGACCGGCAAAGCGCGAUUUGAAAUUUUGGCCCUGGAAAGUACCAGGAAACUCAGGUUGAUGUUAUAAAAAAAAUCAUAUAGGUCACACCUUUGAGAAUAUAAUAUUUAAAUAAUCUCAACUUUGUUAGAAUCAUCGCGAAGGAGGAAUCACAUUUUCUUUGUGAUUUCCAUUAAAAAACAACGUCAAAUUAAGUGGACUUGAACCCAAUCCCAAAUCAACCAGUAAACGAACAAUAGAGACGAAUCAGACAAAAUCAGCUUUUGAUUUGAAUAUUAGCAUCGGUGUACAAUUUCAAUUGGCGAGCAAUUUCAUUUUGUCAUCGUUCAAUCUAGCAUUGAAGGGCAAUCAUAACAUGCAAUCCUAGUCUAUUUUCAGCUUCAUGUAACUUUAUGGCAAUAGCAAAUAAUAUCGAGUAUGAAUGGCUUUAUGAAGGGAGGCUGCAGAGGUGGCUUCCAGGCAAAUGGCGCAUAGUACCAAAGUAAUAGCAAGCGGAACUCAUUUUAACUUGUCCAGAUACAUCCAACAUCUAACCGUUCACGUUCGGCAACACGCAACUUAUACUUCCGACGCCACCUCCUCCCCUUCGACGACUUUCAUCAACUUAGCCUGAAUGCUUUUGUUUGCUUAUGAAGGAAGGUCGCUGGUGCAUUACAGUGCCUGUUACUCUAGACACAACUCGCCCGGUCUCUACUCUUUGAACAACCAAUUAUACUUUCGAUUGGUAUUGCAGGUAUAAGGAAGGCAGCACGCGAUUGAUAAAGUUGGAUUAUGGGUGCGUUUAUUUUACGAAAAAAUGAAUAAUUUAAAAAAUAUUUUUUUUAAAAAAGAUUGUUUAUAUCGCUCAAUAUAAUUAGUCAAUGAAAAAUAUUUCCAUUAUUGACAAUAAUUUAUAUCUAAAUAUUUUCAUAAAAAAUGAAAAUAUUUUUCAUUCAUUAAUUUUUAUAAGUGAUAUAAGUGUUCAUUUUUUAGAAAAAAAAUAUUUUUCAUAUCAUCCAUUUUUCGCGAAACAAACGGAGCUUAAGUUAAAAGUCAAUGUUCUAAGACAGUUAAGUGGUUCAAUUCAUAAGAAAUUAACAUUGUGCAUUCUAAGUUGCAAUAUGUAAGUGGUUCAAUUCAUAAGUUCCUCUGUUUCUGUAAUGAGUUUUCAUGCAAUAAUUUUCCUUCUUGUAGAUUCUGAGUUGAUUUUUUUUUUUUUUUUUUUUGCCUGUGAUGUUUUUUCAGUUGAAGAAACAAUUAACUACAAAUAUUCAAGAGUCGCUGGCAUGUUCAUGGUUUUAAUGAUUACUGACACUCUUUUCUGUGGCAUUUCUUUUCACUCUACUAAAAGAUUUACCUACCAAUGUUCAAAUGUAUAAAUUACGGUAGUGCGAACCUCGAGCUCAACUCCUAUUAGACAUUAGAUGCUCGGAACUCCACUCGAGGCAUGGAGUAUUCAAUUUCCAGCUUGAGCUUGACCAGAAAAAAAUGGAGAUAUCAAGCUCAAGUAGACUCGACACAAUCACGUUAUAAAAUGAGUUCAAGCUCUAGCUCAAUAUGUUCAAAUAUUAUCCUUUUCAUUUAUGUAAUUAUAUAUGUAUAUCACAACUUUUAAAUAUCUUGCCCUUUAUUUUCCAUAGCUAUCAAAUAUUUAACUGAACAAAAGAAUAGAAAGUUGAUUAAUAUGGCGAGUCUCUCAAACAGAAUAUAAUGAGCUUGAUUUGUUUGUUUUUUUGGUCGUGAAUAAAAUUCUCGUUGAUAGAUUAAGAUUUGUUUAGCUUAACGAAAGCAAAAUGGAAGUUUGGCUCCAGCAAAGAAAAACUAAUCCUUUUUAAAAAAUAUAUAUAUAUAAUUAGCAGAACAAAGCAAUUGAAAUAUGCUUUUUCUAGCCUAGAAAUAAAUGAAAAAAUUCCUCAUUCCAGAAAACAAAACAGACAAAAAAGAAUAAAGGGGAUUUAUUAUGCUUCCUUUGCGGUCACACCAAAUUUGAGUGGACCUCACAAACCAAUUGAAAUCAUCUCUUUUAUAAAUCAUACUACAUAAAUCAUCUAAUGUUAUUACAAUUCAAUGUAUGUCUAAAUGAUAAAGUACUAAGAAAAGCAUCUUGAUUGGGAUCCAAUGAUUUACACCAUGAUCGAAUUGCCCAGUUCGAAUUAGAAACAAAUCCAGGGGCUUUUGUCUUUGCUUAGAACAUACGCAAGUUCACCGUCAAGUCUUUGUCCAACCUGCUUGUUAAGGCAAUGAAAAAGCACUAAAGUACGUUUAUCUAGUCAAUUCGCUUAGCAUGCCCUGGUAUGCACAUAUCCAAAUUUCACAUCAAAUAGACUUGGCAACUCACCCACAAGACCGGCAAAACGUGUUUGGCCCAGGGAAAAUACCAGGAAACGUGGGUCGAUAUUCAUUAAAAAAAGAAAGAAAAAGAAAAGCAUAAAAACCCUCAUUCGAGAAUAAAAUGUUUCAAAAAUCUCAACUUCGUUCGCAUCAUUGUCAAGGAGGAACCAUAUUAUCUUCGCACUUUCCAUCAAGAAUCAGCUAAAGUUCAAUGAGGACUCUUUUGCUCAUUGAAAGUGAUUUAUUUUGUAAACAUAGUUUGCAAAGCAAAACUCAAAUUGCAUGAAAGAUUAAAAUGAGCAUCGACUUGAAAUUAAAGAAUAUAGAAAAAUUUAACAAUGUCCUCUAAAUUUUUUAAUAAUUAAGUCCAUUUAAAGUGUGGAAACUUCUAAGUAGGUUGGCCAACUAAAAUCGCAAAGUAAAAAAUCUAGGAAGGGCAUGUUUUGGAAAUUUUUUUGGAGUUCGUUCACGGGGUCUGAAUAUUAAGUAUGAAUCAUAGUUAAUAUUUUGUGAUCUAUUUCAUGCUCUAGAUACUCAAAUACACCCCUUGCCUAUGGCAGUGAGGGCCGGGACCCUCAUUUGUGGUCGGGAUCUUAUGAUCUAUGUCUAAAUUGUAAAACUAUAAGAUAGCAAAGCAUAUUGGCUGGUCUCUUAAAAUAUGUUAUCCAAAGCAUGCCGCUCAACUACUUCUCCAGCAUGCUGCUUAGCUCAUGGGGUUGAGAAUAUAAUGUUCUUUAAUUGAUCGCCUUCCAUAAAAUCAAAUUAAAAAAAUCAAAAUCCUUGUCCCGAUAAUAAGAGUUGUCGGUUAAGACAAUUUUUCUCUUCAAGACUUAGUCGUAACCCGUGGAUUUUUUUGGAUGGUGUUUGAGAAAGCCAAUGUGAAAUGUAAGCACCACCUCACAUAGGGUUAUAUUUGUCCGCCUAGCAAUAGGUUAAACUCUCUCGGCGUCCACUCCAGUAGGAUCGUGACAAUGUGCAUAUUCAAGAUAUGCUUGAUUCAAAGGUAAUGCUUCGUUCAUAAUGUAAAGAUGUGCAAUCAUCAAAUUUCAUAUCACAAGUCAACAUUCAGAAAUUCAAUCAAUGACAUUCAAUGAAUGGAUGUCAAGUUAUUCAAACAAAAGAAUGGAGUCAGAAUUAUCUGAAAGUUGUUUCUUUGUAAUAUUUGAGAAUAAUUAUUCGAAAAUUAGCACAUAGACUCUCGGUUCACAGAUCAAUGACGUUCGAGGACUCUAUUCAGACCAUUUGCCUUACAGCCAUUUGGUGCGAUAUGGAUCUUUUUAACUUAUCAAGGAAUGCCGCAAGUAACUUCCAGACAAAUGGAACAAAAUAUCCAAGUAAUAGUCGGUGGAACAUAUAUCAAGUUGUCCAAUACGUCCAACAUUCAAAGAACAUGCAAUCAUAUAAAAUAAUUCCGAGACAACCUCCUCGUCUUCGAAGACUAACACCAAUUAUCUCCUCACACUUAGCCUCCUAUUUGGUGCUGAGUCUGAAUGGUGUUUUUUUUUCCUCUGAUGAAGGAAGGCCCAGGUAACUUCCACGCAAGUAGUACAUGAUAACAAAGUAAUGGCAAGCGGAAAAUAUAUUGAGUUGUCCAAUACGUCCAACAUCAAACUGAACAAAUUAAUAGAAUUUUUCUGGCCAAGAAAUUAUAAUAGAAACUUGAUUAAUAUGGUGAGUCUCUCAAACAGAUAUAAAUGAGCUCGAUUUUCUUUUUGUUCAUGAAUAAAAUUCUAAUUAAAAGAUUUGAGAUCAUGCUAACACCAAGCACAAACAACUGGUUUUUUUUACCAAUACAGCACACUAGUAGGUGGAAUAAUAGCAAGAAUCAAUUGAUCAUGCCGAAUAGCACGAAUCUAGAUUGAAAAUAAGAAGAUCUGCUUUGUUUGGCUUAGCAGAAUGGAAGUUUGGCUCAGCUUUGGCUCAGAUGAGAAAAGCUAAUCCUUUUUUAACAAACAUGAUUAAUUAUCCCCACACAGGCAUGAUCAAAUAUCGCCACACAGGCAUGUUCUACACCACACGAACGGAUUAAUUGUCGCCACACAAACAUCAUCAAAUAUCGCCACAUAGGCAUGAUCAAUUAUCACCACAUAAGCAUGAUCAAUGUGAUAUAUAUUCAACAAUUUACGUGCAUUCUCUAAGGCAUCCUAUAUGCCAAAGCGAUGUAAUAAUCGCCGAGCCACGUCACACGGCAUUUCUUCUCAUCUUUUAUCAUACCAGAUAAAAUAUAGUGCGUGGGCACACGGUUGGCCUUAGCCAAAAUAUAAUAUUUUCCUUUCCAUAACUCCUACACUUUCUAUAGUCCACUAAAAUAUUUUUAGCAUUAUUAACCGAUGCCCGGCUAUUUUUCAACUAAUAACCAACCUUAUUCAAUUUAGGAAUAAAUCCCAAAUUCAUAGAUAAUUCAAUUCAGCACCAAAUAAAACUCAAUUAAAUAAAUGGACUGCGUUAUGACAAUCAGCAUAAAAUUCCGAUCGUCGACUAUCCUUGCCUAAUUUUUGGAAAAUAAAUAAUUAAUUAAUUAAUUUCGAAAAUUAAUAAAUUGAUACUAAAAACCCAAUUUAGGCCCGUAAUGCCUAAUCAGACGCUAGAACGGAUCGGGAAAAAUCCCAAGAUGCAUUCAAUAAAUAUGAGUAUGUCUCUACUUGUUAAUUACACAAACUGAUCGCCUAAUAUGCAUCAUUAAGUCACUAAUUAAAUCACUCUAAACUAAUCUAACCACCUAAUUACACUUAAUUAAAUCUAAUCAACCCUUAAGCAUCAUUAACCGACUAAUAAGGGAUCAGUGAGCAAAACUCACUUGAUUAACACGCAGGUCGGAUCAAACUGACGGGAACGUCAUGGGGGACAUUUUUCUCCAAAGCGGGCCUAGGGUCCGGGGCUCACAAGCACCUCAAAACGGCUUCCAAAGCUUGCUAUAAACCCACUAUUUUUCUUGCUGUUCUUGGCUGGAAUUGAAGGGAAAUCAACUCUGUUUAGGCAGGAAUUGCUCGGGAAUGUAAGAAUAGGCCAAAUCGGGCCUAAAGGAGGAUUCACAAGGGUUAAAUGAGCUCGGGACAGCCCCUGGUGAGCUGCAACAAAACCAGGACAGCAGCUGGGAGGCGAGAGGGAUGCAGCCAAGGGACGGUGUGUGCAGGCGGCGGCGCGUGAACCUGCGACGGCGAGGCGGCGAUCCGGCGUGAGGCAGCUGCAGCUUCUUCUUUGCUGCUGGUUUUGUCCAAAAUGAAGAGAGAAUGGAGUGGAUGGCAAGAAGAAGGAGAGAAGGAAAGGAGUGUGGAGGAAGCUUGGCCUUGGUGGGUCCUUUGGCCAAUUUUUUCCCACCAAGUUGUCUCCCAAAUACUUGCCCAUCGAAUGGUCCAUUUUGCUAGGCUAUGGGGGUAGUUACGAAUUUGGCACAAAUCUUUCUCAAUUGGACACCAUUCCUCACUCAAUUCAAUUCAUUGCCGUUUAAAAUUCAAUGACAUCUCAAUGCCUCCACUGAUAAUUUCCUCACCCAAUAUCCAUCUGCAUCUCAAAUUGCAACUAAAAAUAAUCAUCGGCCUUGAUUGAACAAAAACGGUCAUAAACCGACUUUUUCCUAAAAAGUCUCGGUUGUCAGAAAAAUCUUCUGAGACUGAGUCAUGGGUCUUAGAAUUUAUUGUGACAUGACAUGAUUUUCAAUUUCUAAAAUUGGACUUGAAUUGGCGGUUAAUUUCCAUCCAACGCGUUUUUAGCGUAACUUAGGCUAUCGGGUAGUUUUCAAAACUUUUUAAGGCAAAUGACCCGUGGUUGAUUUUCUUCGAACCACUAUGAACCCACUCGACACAUUGACGACUCGUGGUUGUUGUGAAAAUCUCGAUGAUUCAAAUACGGACACAAGACACCAAAAUGACAAUAAAAUCAAAUUAGUGUCGAUCGAUGAGAAUUUCCCAAUUUAACGGUAUCACCCACGAUCGGCCACACAUCUUAGUCGAAUCGACCUAUCUCUGAUCUCAAAUUGAUUUUAUAUUAUGCCGUAAUGACUUCUAAAGAUGAGCACGAUCGAGAAGCCGAUUCUUGGUUGAAUUCUCCAGUCUAUUGCCUUAAAAUUUCUUAAUGACUUCCCCAGAUAGUCUAGUUAUCUCCUGAGUGGCCAUCUUAGAGAAAGCAUUAUAGGCGCAUCAAUGAAAUGUUCGAUUUAUUCAGUAGAAAACAGGACUGAAAAUCUAGGAUGUCACAACUCUCCCCCUCUUAUAAAAAUUUCAUCCUCGAAAUUUAAACAUUUACCAAUCCCUAAACAAAAAGGUGGGGGUAUCGUCGUCUCAUCUAGUCUCACUUUCCCCGGUUGCUUCUUUAGUCUGGUGGCAUUGUCAGACCACUUUGACCAAGGGGACUAUCUUGGUUCACCGAAUCUGUUUUGAACCACAAUAUGAACUGGGCUUUUCACGUACAACACUCUGUCUUCCACGUCUAAUUCUUCAAGAUUUAGCACGUGGGUCUAGUCAGGUUCAUACGUCCUCAACCUCAAAAUGUGAAAGGCGUCAUGCACUUGUGCCUACCUCGGCGACGACGCAAGAUAAUAUGUUCGGAUCCCGAUUCUUUUCAGAAUCUCAAAGGAACCUACUUACCUCGAUUUAAGUUUUCCCCCUCAUUGUCGAAGCGCAAGGUAUCCCUCAUUAGUGACACCUUCAGAAAGAUGUAAUCACCAAUUUGGAACUCUAAGGGCCUUCAAUACUCAACGAUACAACUUUUCUGGCAGCUCUGAACGGUCUUUAAUCUGUUUUUGAUCACGGCAACUGCAAUCACUAAUUGCUGAAUUGACUCUGGGCCUGUGAUAUUUCUUUUUCUGAUCUCAUCUCAACAAACUGGAGUUCUGUACACUCUGCUAUGUCCUGCCUCAAAAGGAACUAUCUAACUGUUCUGCUGAAACUGGGAACCUCGGUUCUAGAUCUAAUAUAAGUUCGUCACUAAUACUCCAUGCAAACGAACUGUCUGACACACACACACUUUUGUACGCCUAUUCCAAUCAAGAUCCUUUCAUACGGCGAUAAAGUGAGCCGACUUCAUCAGUCUGUCGAUCACUACCUCAAUUGGAGUGAUUAUUCCUCUGACUUCUUGGUAAACCUAUCACAACAUUCCAUCGUGAUAUACUUCCCUUCCCACUCGGGACUCUCGAGUGAUUGUAAAUGCCCUCUCGGUUUGCAUUAAGGAACUUUCACUUACUAGCACAUCUGACACUCACAACCUGUUCGACGGCAAUUAUCUUCAUAUCGAUCUACCAAUCGAGCUGACGUUGAUUCUGACCUACCUCACACUGUAUGUCAAAUACUGCAACUACUACCAUGAAUUCCUAAGUCUCUUCCUUGAGUGUUACAUCAUCAGGUACACCCAAUCACUCUCAGAACCUCAGUGUUCCAUCCUUAGAAAUCUCAAAGUCAGUCUCUUUCUUAUCAGUAUUCUUCUAUAGGAUUUUUUUGACAUCUGGGUCCACCAACUGAAACGUCUUGAUCCUGAAUUAAACAUUCGGUUCAAUUCUGAGGGUGGCCAUAAAAUUCAAAAGGUGGCCUACCUCAAAUUUGAAAACCAAAUUUCGAACCCUUUUCAAGUAAGGUCAAUUCCUUAACCAGCAUACGAGCAACUGAAGAUUCUUGACUCAACACAUUUGCGAACUUAUUUGCUGUUCCGGGGUGAUACCAGAUAUCACCAUCCUAAUCUUUUAAAAGUUCCGAUUCACGACAAUGUCUCAUACUCAACUCCUUCUAAGAUAAUAAAUACCGGAGACUUUAAUAGUCGAUGAAGAUCUGGAAUUUCUCUUCAUACCAAUGAUGUCUUAAAAUCAUUAGAGCGAAAAUUAUUGCUGCGAGUCCUAAGUCAUGCAUCGGGUAGUUCAACUCAUAAGGUCUCAACUAGCGGGACGCGUAUGUAACAAUCCUAUCAUGUUACAUCAGCAUGCAACUCAGUCUUCUGUAGUAAUCUGUCCAAUCCAUCCGGCUUUUGGUCUCUAAUACUGUUGUCGGUCUUGGUCAAUUAAUCAUGGCUUCAAUCUUGCUCGGGUUCACUGAAAUUCCUUCACCUGAGAUCACAUGCCCUAAGAAAGUAACACGAGUUAGCCAAAACUCGCACUUGCUAAACUUAGUGUACAACUGAUGAACUAUCAGCUUUUGCAGCACUAAUCUCAAAAGAUUCUCAUGCUCUCCAUCACUUCUCGAAUAUACCAGAAUAUCAUCAAUGAACACGAUCACAAACUGAUCUAGGUAUUCCUUGAAUACCCUGUUCAUCAAAUCCAUGAAGGCAGUUGAAGCAUUCGUCAACCCGAACGGCAUUACUGUGAACUCGUAAUGAUCAUACCAAGUACGAAAUGCUGACUUAGGAAUAUCCUCCUUCUUAAUUCUUAGUUGGUGAUAUCCUAUCCUCAAGUCGAUCUUUGAAAAUAUUGACUCCUUGUAACUGAUCAAACAAGUCAUCAAUCCUCUGCAGUAGAUACUUGUUGUUGAUUGUUACCUGAUUGAGUUGCCGAUAGUUGAUGCCUAAGAGCAACGAACCAUCUUUCUUCUUCAAAAACAAAACUGGUGCUCCCCAAGGUGAUGCACUAGGGCGGAUAAAUUUCUUAUCCAAUAACUCUUGCACCUGCACCUUCAGUUCUUUCAACUUAGAUAACGUCAUCCGGUAAGAAGCCUUAGAGAGUGACUCUGUCCCGAGUGCUAGUUCGUUCGCAAAUUCUAUCUCUUUCUCUAACGAUGGCCUGACAAUUCUUGUGACAACACAUCUAGAAAUUCUUGGACUACUGAGAUGUCCUCAACGUUCAGUUCUUCAAUUUGUCUUAUCUAUGACAACCGCCAAGUAUCCUUGGCAAUCUCCGUCUAAUUAAUAGGUUGCCUUCGGCCAACGAGAUUAAUGAAAUCGAAGAUUCUUUUCAACUCCUAAUAACCUCGAUGCUUUCACAUGCUAAUGGACUAAAUUGGAUUUCUCCAUGACCAUAAUUCAUUACCACAAGGUGCUUCAUGAGCCCACUCUACUCAUGUGGCGUCCAAAUUAUAUUUGAACAACUAGUCAAACACGACUAUAACUAGUGUUUCCCCUUUCUUCCACUUUAUUUCAACUAACUGAAAUUCUGCAAAUUCAGUCCAAGGUUUUGCUGUUCUACUCUGAUAAAAUCUCCCCAUGAACAUUCUUCUUCUAAUUGGUGUAGGGUUGAUUCCAUUCUUGUUCCUUUCGCCAUCCUAAUGGCGUCCUAUCUCUGGUAGUGGUAUCUGUGCUCCUUUGGAUUCUCACUGGUAGUCUUUCACCUAAUGGUCGUGCAGGUCAUAAUUACAACAUGUUCUAGUCAUUCUUGAACACUGGAUUUAUCCAUGUUUCCUUCUACAAAUCUGACACCUAUCUAGUGUGUCUUCUAUCUCCUAUUAGGUGACAGCAUGCACUCUUUUUGGUACCAAAGGUCUAAUCCAAAACUCCACUGUGCGUUCUAUGGCGCACUUCAUUUGAUCUGUCCCAUCGGCCUUCUAGGACUGUCUCCGGCCAGGUAACCCUGUUGGCUAUACUUGAAACAAAUUUUUGUCCUAAGAAAACAUAAGGCCAAUCUUUGCCGCCACGCACGGGAACAACAUGUUCCAUUUUGACUCAGUGCUGACCUAACUGUCCCACCCUUCCUAUUGGGUGGAAUAGAAUACUUUUCUCUUAACAUCAGUCUUUUCCCCGACCAAUUUCCAUCUCUGCUUGAACUGGAUCUAUACCUCGACUUGGAUGCAACGGCUCAUUCCCAGAUCAUAUCUUCACACUAGAGCUCAGCAUGUGUGGCAACAACGGCGGUUGCGGCACUGACGGCAGUAGUGAUAGCAACAAUAGCGGCAGCUCAGUCCUAAGCUUGUUGGCUCAAUCAAUUCCAAGGACACUAGCACCUGAACGAUCCCAUCAAACUUAGGAUCACUUGGUGCUGCUACACUAGUACCGGCCUACAACGGUACUCUUACACUCGCGUUGGCCUGAGCCAAUGCUCUGCCACAACUGCCUCGGGCACCGAUCCUUGUUGGUGUUCCACCCCGAGUCACAGAGGUUACAAGCCUCUUACUAGGAGUCCUCAGCUCCUGAUCACUCAUGCUACAUGAUCUUUAUAGAAAUAUGUUUUCUAAUUCUAAUACCAUAUUAGAAUUUGAGUGACCCACACAAACAAGCUACCAAUAAGCUAGCAUCAACAUGCACCAGCAUGAAUUUAAAUGCUUUUCCCACUACUAUCCCAUGGUCCAACGCACCUUAUCACUCAAAUCCCUAACGACCAUGCUCUGAUACCACAUAAUGGGGAUGUCAUGCCUCGAUCCUCGGGCAUGCACCCAUCCUUGACCUUGGUCAAUUAAUAGCAACGUCCUAGGAUGAAACAUUGACCCUUUCUUUUUAAUAUGCACAUGUGGAAGUAAUUAUAAAUCCCCAGACAAUAAAACAAUGGGAUAGGAAAGUAGGGCUAUAUUUUUCUCAAAUGAAAAACCAUAACCACACUUUUAUACCAGGCAAACCUCAUAGUAUAUAUUAUAAUACUAUUAACAAGAGUCUGAUCUAUCUCAUAACACUUCACACUCAGGGUUUGCAAAAUAGGGUGGGGUCUCAAUCCUCAUCCGGGUCAUAAUACUCCGGAUCAUCCUCGGAAUCCUCCUUGGACUUCUCCUCCGGUUCCUCAUCAGGGUCCUCUUCGGUUUCUUCUUCCUCAAGUUCCUCUUGAAAUGUUUUUCCACAACCGGGCUGAGACUAUGUCUCAGUAAGUUCUACCCCCUAAGACCCGAUUAGUAAGAAAAUACGCCUUAGGGGCUACCUAAGCACAACCACACAACUUGAACAUGCAAUUGUCGAUUCGCAUACAUCCUUACCUAGUAUGCCAUAGCCUGCACGUUAUAAUUCAGCAUGAUACACGCAAUGCACAUGGCCAUUAGAUGAUGCAAUCAUCAAUCACAUGAGUCACGUCACAAGUGACCUUACCUGGCUAUUGCCACACCCUGCACGUCAUUGAUUCACAAGUGCCAUAAACGAUGUGCUUAACUCAUGCCUUUAAAUUAAUUUCAGCCACACAGGCACAAUACCCAACACACAGAAAUACAGCCUAAUAGGCUCGACAUUACACCACACAAGCACGUUCCAAGCCACACAGGCCUGAUGUUACGCCACACAUGCAUGAUCUAUUUUCGCCGCACAGGAAUGUUCUACACCACAUGAACAUGAUUAAGUAUCGCCACACAUGCGUGAUCAAAUAUUGCCACAAAAGCAUGUUCUACACCACACGAACAUGAUAAAUUAUCGCCACACAGGCAUGAUUAAUUAUCCCCACACAGGCAUGAUCAAUGUGAUAUAUAUUCAACAAUUUACGUGCAUUCUCUAAGACAUCCUAUAUGCCAAAGCGAUGUAAUAAUCGCCGAGCCACGUCACACGGCAUUUCUUCUCAUCUUUUAUCAUACCCGAUAAAAUAUCAUGCGUGGGCACACAAUUGGUCUUAGCCAAAAUAUAAUAUUUUCCUUUCCAUAACUCUUACAUUUUCUAUAGUCCACUAAAAUAAUUAUGGCAUUAUUAACCGAUGCCCAGUUAUUUUUCAACUAAUAACCAACCUUAUUCAAUUUAGGAAUAAAUCUCAAAUUCACAGAUAAUUCAAUUCAGCACCAAAUAAAGCUCAAUUAAAUAAACAGAUUGCGCCAUGACAAUCAGCAUAAGAUUCUGGUCGUUGACUAUCCCUGCCUAAUUUUCGAAAAAAUAAAUAAAUAAAUAAAUAAUUUCAAAAAUUAAUAAAUAAAUACUAAAAAUCCAAUUUAGGCUUGUAAUGCCUAAUUGGACGCCAGAAUGGAUCAAGAAAAAUCCCGAGAUGCAUUCAAUAAAUACGAGUAUGUCUCUACUUGCUAAUUACACAAAUCAAUUGCCUAAUAUGCAUCAUUAAGUCACUAAUUAAAUUACUCUAAACUAAUUUAACCACCUAAUUGGACUUAAUUAAAUCUAAUCGACCCUUAAGAAUCAUUAACCGACUAAUAAGGGAUUAGUGAGCAAAACUCACUUGAUUAACGUGCGAGUCGGAUCAAACCGACGGGAACGUUGCAGGGGACGUUUUUCUCCAAAGCGGGCCUAAAGUCCGAGGCCCGCAAGCACCUCAAAAUGGCCUCCAAAGCUUGCUGGAAACCCACUAUUUUUCUUGCUGUUCUUGGCUGGAAUUGAAGGGAAAUCAACUCGGUUUAGGUGGGAAUUGCUCGAGAAUGUAAGAAUAGGCCAAAUUGGGCCUAGAGGAGGACUCACGGGGGUUCAACGAGCUUGGGACAGCCCCGGGUGAGCUUCAACAGAAUCGGGACAGCAGCUGGGAGGUGAGAGGGUGGCGGCCAAGGGGCGGUGUGUGUGGGUGCUACGCACGGGGCGGCGGCGCGCAAACUGGCGACGAUGAGGCGGCGAUCCGGCAUGAGGCGGCUGCAGCUUCUUCUUUGCUGUUGGUUUUGUCUAAAAUGAAGAGAGAAUGGAGUGGAUGGCAAGAAGAAGGAGAGAAGGAAAGUAGUGUGGAGGAAGCUUGGCCUUGGUGGGUCCUUUGGCCAAUUUUUUUCCACCAAGUUGUCUCCCAAAUACUUGCCCAUCAAGCCAAUAAUCCAUGGCUGUCAUUGAUCCACCAAAUGGUCCAUUUUGCUAGGCCAUGGGGGGAGUUAUGAAUUUGACACAAAUCUUUCUCAAUUGGACACCGUUCCUCACUCAAUUCAAUUUCAUUUGGCCUUUAAAAAUUCAAUUGACAUCUCAAUGCCUCUAUUAUAAUUUUCCUCACCCAAUAAUCCAUCUUGCAUCUCAAAUUUGCAACUAAAAAUAAUCCUCGGCCUUGAUUGAACAAAAAGGUCAUAAACCGACUUUUUCCCAAAAAGUCUCGGUUGUUAGAAAAAUCCUCUGAGACUAAGUCGUGGGUCAUAGAAUUUAUUGUGACAUGACAGAAUCUUCAAUUUCUGAAAUCGGACUUGAAUUAGCGGUUAAUUUCCAUUCGGCACAUUUUUAGCGUGACCUAGGCUACCGGGUAGUUUUCAGAAAUUUUUAGGGCAAAUGACCCGUGGUCGAUUUUCUUCAAACCACUAUGAACCUACUCGACACAUUGGCGACUCUCAGUUGUCGUGAAAAUCUCGAAGGUUCAAAUACGAACAUAGGGCACCAAAACGACAAUAAAAUCAAAUUAGUGUCGGUCGAUGAGAAUUUCUCAAUUUAGUGGCAUCACCCACGAUCGGCCACACAUCUCAGUCGAACGGACCUAUCUUUGAUCUCAAAUCGAUUUUAUACUGUGUCGUAAUGAUCUCUAAAGAUGAGCACGGUCGAGAAGCCGAUUCUUGGUCAAAUUCUCCAAUCUAUUGCCUUAAAAUUUCUUAAUGGCUUCCCCAUAUAGUUUAGUUAUCUCAUUAGUGGCCAUCUCAGAGAAAAGCACUAUAGGCACAUCAAUGAAAUGUACGGUUUAUUUAGUAGAAAAUAGGAUUGAAAAUUUGGGAUGUCACAUGUGUUGCUGGGCUUGUUGCCGUGGAGAGAAUGCUGGUUCGGUGGAGUCUUGCUGGAGUGUGUUGACCAGGCAAAAUGGCAGAUGUGGACUUCGUCGGGGAAGCUAUCUCGACGGGAAAAUUAAGAACAAGCUGUAGGACAAUUGGGGGCAAAAGAUGGUGGAGAUGGCAGAACAUGUGCAGGGAAAAUGAAGGUGAAAGAGAAGCUAUCCAGGGGGCUGGCGGAGCGGGUGUAGGCAAGAGAGAAAAGGUGAGGGGCAGCUGGCAACGUGCGAAUAAAAGAGAGGAGGGAGAGUGGGGCUUCGGCAAGGAGACCAGAGGAUAAGUAUGACUCAAAAAGUCAAAGAAGUGGGGAAAGAUGGUGGGACACGACAUAGGAGCUGUCAGUUUGGGGGGGAAAACGUGGGAGUGAGAGAGAGAGAAAAAGGAAGGGAGAGACGUGCGGUCGAAGGGGGGGGGGGGGUGGGAAAGAAGUAAAAAAAAAAGGAAAUUCCCAUAACCAUAAUUCUUGGUCACACUUGCUCUUAUUUAAUCCAAUCUAGUCCCAAAAAAUCUCCAUGCCAAAAUACUUAAUCCUCACUUACUUUGUUGCACCAAAUUUCCCCCAAAUAACAAGUCUUGGGCAACAAAAACGGCUAUUUCCCUCAAUUCCGAAUUCUAUGUCUUUUUUUUUCCUCGGAAUCCAUUUACUGAACAAACCUCUCAGAUUGAGGUCCAAUUUCGUUGAAGAAAAAGCCUACACAACUUCCUUUCACCAAGUAGUUCACACAGAGGCCAAAUCUCUUCAAUUUGGCCAAUCCGAAUUUCCGUUCGUUUUUCGAAUCGUUCCGAAUCGACUUUUCGUAAAAAUCCUAAACUCACCGAAAAUUCCUCGAAAAAUGAGUCGAUGUUCCUAAAAUGGCUUGUGUCACGACAGAACUUUCAAUUUCUGAAAUUGGAUUCAAAUUCGCGGUUAAUUUCAAUCCGACAUGAUUUUAGCGUGACCUAGGCUACCGGGUAAUUUUCAUAAAUUUUUAAUGCAAAUGACCCUUGAUCGAUUCUCUUUGAGCCACAACGAACCUCUUUGACACUUUGGCAACUCUCAAUUGUCGUGAAAAUCUUGAUAUUUCAAUUACGGACACAGGGUACCAAAACGAUAGAAAAAUUAGUCUAGUAUCGGUCGACGAGAAUUUUGUAGUUUAGUGAAAUCACCCACGCUUAGCCACAUAUCCUAGUCGAACUGACAUAUCUCUGAUCUUUAAGCGAUUUUUAACUGUGCUGUAAUGAUCUUUGCAAAUGAGCAUGGUCGAGUAAUCGAUUUCUAUCUAUUGCAUUAAAAUUCUUUUAUGACUUCCUCAGAUAGUCUAGUUAUCUCAGGAGUGAUCAGCUCUGAAAAUAACACUAUAGAUGCGUCGAUGAAAGGCCCGAUUAAUUUAAUUGAAAGCAGAACGGAAAAAUUCAAUAUGUCACAUUUUGGAAGUCUAAUUGAGGGGAGGCUUACACAACUAAAACUAGUUGUACAAAAAUUCAAUCCAAUAAAUUACUUUUUUUAUGUCAAACAACUUGAAUUAGUGUUCUGGACAAAGAAACAAAGUAAUGGCGAGAGUAGCACGUCGAGAGUAGCACGUGACUUUUCCUGCCAAGACUUUCAUUAAUUAUUUCUUCAACUAGUUGGUGCGAGUCUGAAAUUUUUUUUUUCCCUUUUAUUUUUAUUUUUUAUUUUUUUAUAUACAUGAAGGAAGGCCGCAGGUGACUUCCAGGCAAUAGAGCUUAGUAACAAUGUAAUAAUAAUAUAUAUUUCUGAGACCACGUCCGAGGACGACGACUUCCAUCAGUUCUUUCCUAUUUAGUGCGAUCCGUGUGGCCCUUCUUUUAAGCUUAUGAAGGAAGGCUGCAAGUGACUUCCAGGCAAAGGAUUAUUUCCUCAACUGAGCGAUCUCACUCUGUUUGCGUGGGGGCUUUUAGGCCAAGGAGCAAACGGGAAAAGGUAAGGAAAGUUCCAUUAGAUGUUUGCGUGGGGAAGAGCUUCAUUUUUUAGUUGGACUGUUGUUUCCAAGACCAAACAGACUUGCCUAUUUGUAGGCUCGUUUCGACUGUCGUUCUUCAGUUAAUUUCUCUGAACAUUGUCUCUGCUUGUUCUUUUCGCAUGCUGAAUAUUUUAUUAGCCAUUAUUUUUAACUAUCACAAAUUAAGCUAGAGAUCACCAACUACAACUACCAACUAGAGACUUGAAUCUUACAGAAGUCUAGCAGUUUCUAGAAAUUUGAUCAAGACGUCCGUAGCUUUAUCAAGUUGUUUCAAGGAUCAGACUCAAGACUUCCCGAGUCACCCCGCAGACUCGAUUCUGAGAUCAAUAACUCCAUUGUCCUCUUGGAAUGAACAGAAAUAGUGAGGCAGAAGAGACGGUGGCACCCGCGGCGACAGCGAUGGAGGUGGCGACAGCAGCUCCGGCAAGCAGCAGUCAUGAUGGUGGAUCGGAGAGGGGCCUGAUGGCGGUGGCAACGGCAGCUCUAACGAGCAAUAGCCAUGAUGGCAGAUUGGGGAGGACCCAUGAGGUAUUCCUGAGUUUUAGAGGACCUGACACCCGUUUAACCAUUGUGGAUUCCCUGUACAAAGCCAUUGAACAUGCAGCAAUCAGUGUUUUCAAAGAUGACGAAGAGCUCCGAGUCGGUAAAGAGAUUGGAGGUAAUCUUAUGCAAGCAAUCAAUGAAUCCAGAAUUUACAUCCCGAUUUUCUCCAAAAACUACGCUUCAAGUAAGUGGUGCCUCCGUGAGCUCGCACACAUAAUGAAGUUAUCGAGAGACGACAUUGAGAAAGUGAUACUCCCUAUAUUCUAUGAUGUGGAUGCGGAUGAUGUUAAGCUUAAGACUGAAUUAUAUAGGACAGCCCUCCAAAUUCACGAGAGUGACUCUGGGAAGGAUAUGGCAAAGCAGUGGGAGGAGGCUUUAAGAGAGGUUGCUGGAAUUAAAGGAUGGAAUCUAAAAGAUUACGGGUAUUGUUAGCUUCUUCCAUUAAGUUUAUUUUCAUUUCGUCAAUUUCGAAAUUAUAUUCUAUGAUACUUUUUCCAGAGUAAUAACUUUCAGUUUGCUGCUGUCGAAUCUUAUAUGAUGUAUGGUUGAUCGGCCGCAGUGAGGGAGGCAGAAAUUUUGCUCAGGGAGCAAGGUUUCUUGCAUAAAUUGACUUUUCACUUUUAAUCCCAAGUUUUGAUAACAAUAGUAUCAAGAUAUGUCAACUUAAUUAAUCAAUCAUUAAUGCAAAAAGAAUAUUUAUGAAAAUCUAAGAGUUGAUGAAAUAAUAAGACAACAUAUGUGUGAAAAAUAAAAAUUUAAAUCUCUUAACUUUGCAGCUCACUUUUCGGCUAGCAAAAUGCUUUUAAAAAAACUUCGGUCAUUUCUCUUGCUUUGACCUAUUCACGGCCCCUGAUUGUACUUAGGGCACCACAGGGUACGGAUUUCCUUUGCCUUGUGACCAUCCUAGUUUUAAAGUUGUCAACUUUUAUAUGAAAGUACUUAUCUUAAUUUGUGUCUUACCAACUUCUUUUCGAUUAACUAAUUUUAGGUUACCAGCGUUUAUUUAAGUCAUUUAUUAAGUUUAAUUGAUUGUUUGCCGAUUUACAAAUUUUAUAGAAUCUACCAUCUCUUAUUUGAAUUGUUUACUUCACAUUUCAAAGUUACCAAUACUUGAAACAAAUCAAUAACCCUAAUGUGAGUUUCAUACUAACGAAUCUCUAAUUAAGUUACUAGCUAAUUUAAGUUACCCAUUCCUAUGUGAACCACUUAUCAAUAUUUAUAUUUUGUUGAAAAUUCCACCUUUUGUAACAAACUUUUGUUAUCAACGGACCCACUUUUAUUAGCAUAGUUCACAAACAUUCUGAGGUUAGGAACUCAAUUAUCAAAUUACCAAGCAUGUAAUUUGAGUUACUUACCAACUUAUUCUGAUUAAAUUACCAACAAAUUUAAUGUGACUGAUGAAAUCACUAAGUUAAACCAGUUGGUAGCUUAUUCAGAAAAAUGAUUGUUGGCAACUCAAAUGAAGGCUGAUAAAUACUCUGAAAGUGUUCCUCAUAUUUUCGGUUACUACCCUAUUACUCGGGUACAUUAAGAAAAAUGCUUUUGAGCUUUUAUUCUUGUUUUUUAAAUUCCAGGUAACUGCCUAGUGAGAAAAUCUUUUUCUUUUAUGUCAAUCUUCAAACUCAUCUUUAGUGGCUGAAGAGAUAAAAAAGACCGGGUUCACCGAGGAAUUCUAGUCAAAGCCCAAUUAGACCUUCGUCAUGAAAUAACCUUUUUCCUACCAUUAACCAGACCAAAGAGUCCUGACGGGAGCUGCUUUUUUUUUUUUUUUUGGUGGCAAACGGCUCGCAGCAUGAAUGAUCACUCAUUUCAUGUUGGUUGCUUUCAAAGUCAAUUACUUUAAAAUUUGAUGAUAACCAUCUAGUGACACGUUAUGCAGGCAUAGAUUCCAUAUGUGAUUUUUUUUAAUCUGACAUGAUUGCAUGUUAUGUAUGUGGCAGCCUAUAUAAACUUACAAACCUCAUGGUGGAAGAGGUUUCAAAUUUGCUAUGGACAAGACGAAGAGACAUGUCUAAUCAUUUGGUGGGAAUUAAAGAUCGAAUGGAUCACAUUAUGAAGCUAUUAGAUGUAGGAGCUUUUGAUGUACGAUUUAUUGUGAUUCAUGGUAUGGGUGGCAUUGGAAAAACGACACUAGCCGAGGCCGUCUUCAAGCAAAUCUACCCUCAAUUUCGGGAUCAUUGCUGUUUUCUCAAAGAUGUUCGAACUCAUGAUAUAAUAGGUUUACAAAAGAAAUUGCUGUUUGACAUUCUCAAUCUUAGUUGCACAAACCCCUUCUUCAUUGAUGAAGUGAUCAAGACAAGGUUUCUUGGCAAGAAAGUCCUCGUUGUUCUUGAUGACAUUGACAACUGGGACCAAAUCAUGAGACUUGUAGGCGAGCCCAACUGGUUUGGUGGGGGUAGUAGAAUCAUCAUAACAACAAGGAAUAUUGAAUUCCUGGUAAAGGAAGGUGAGGAUGACAAUCUCCCAAUCUCUAAUAGCGGACAAUUUUCAUUCUACGAUAUGCCGGAGAUGAAUUCACAUGAUGCUCUUCAACUUUUCUAUGCGCGUGCCUUGGGACAUGCCAAGCCUCUGCCUAGUUGCAUGGAUAUCACAAAAAAGCUAAUCAAUGCACUAGGAGGACUUCCAUUGGCUCUCAAUGUCGUAGGUUCCACGCUCCGUGGAAAAUGCCGAAGAACAUGGGAAGACACUCUAUGUAAGUUAAAGAAGGUGAUGAAUGAGGAUGUCAAGAAGAAGUUGAUGAUAAGCUACGAAGCAUUGGGAACUAAUCAACGGCAAAUUUUUCUUGAUAUCGCAUGUUUCUGCUUCAACAAAGAGAAAACAACUGCAGUUAAAUAUUGGGAUGCAAUUUUUGGGUAUCCUACCGAAAUUGAGGUCAAUAGCCUUAAACGUAUGUCUCUGAUAAAAAUAUCGAACGAUAAUAAACUAUGGAUGCACGACCAACUUAGAGACCUUGGAAGGAGUAUCAUCCAUCCAGAAAGUGGCGAAAUCCAUAUGAAGGGUAGCAGAUUGUGGUCUCCCAAGGAUGCCUUCCGUGUAGUGCAGACAAAAACGGUAAUCUUUACCUCUAAAUGUUUUCCAGUGCAUCCAUUAGCAUCACCACCUUUUUUUUUUCAUCUAAUUUCAAUUCAAAGUGACAUGUACUCAUUGGUUGGUACUUUUGUUUUAUAGGGAACCAAAGACAUAGUGGCGCUCAAUCUUGGUACACCCGACUCCAAUAAGACAUAUAGAUUUAAGCACAAGCAAUUUGUGGGCUUGGUCAACCUUAGGUUCCUUCAAUUGGACCAUGGAAACUUUGAAGGAGACUUUAAGAAUGUUUUCUUUGAUUUGAGAUGGCUCUCUUGGAGCAAUUGCCCAUCAAAAUUCCGUGCUAGCAACUUUGGGUUGAAGAAUUUAACGAUUCUCAUGCUAUCUGGGAAUAACAUUACUGAAGAUUGGGGAGGGUGGUGUCAAAUCAUGGUAUGAUCUCACGACAUCCUUUUGCAUUAUAUUUACUCUUCCUCUUUUCUAAGUGUCUACUCAAUUACUUUAUAGGUAGCAAAACAAUUGAAAAUCCUACAGCUCGAGGAUUGUCCAUUCCUUAGAAAGACACCCAAGUUCUUUGCAAUCUCGCAAUUGGAGAAAUUGAUUCUUAGAUGCCUUCGACUAAGGAAGAUUGACAAGUCCAUCGGCAAUCUAAAACAUCUUGAUUACCUAGAGAUAAAGAGUGAAGCUAUUGAGUCACUACCGGAGUCCAUCGGCGGUCUAAAAUCUUUGACAGUGCUAAGAAUAGA
rnacentral:lncRNA from 1 species